rnacentral:rRNA from 1 species
GACGAACGCUGGCGGCGUGCUUAACACAUGCAAGUCGAACGGAAAGGCCUCUUUCGGGGGGUACUCGCGUGGCGAACGGGUGAGUAACACGUGAGUAACCUGCCCUUGACUUUGGGAUAACUUCAGGCAACUGGGGCUAAUACCGGAUAGGAGCUCCUGCUGCAUGGUGGGGGUUGGAAAGUUUCGGCGGUUGGGGAUGGCUUCGCGGCUUAUCCGCUUGUUGGUGGGGUAGUGGCUUACCAAGGCGUUGACGGGUAGCCGGCCUGAGAGGGUGACCGGCCACAUUGGGACUGAGAUACGGCCCAGACUCCUACGGGAGGCAGCAGUGGGGAAUAUUGCACAAUGGGUGGAAGCCUGAUGCAGCAACGCCGUGUGCGGGAUGACGGCCUUCGGGUUGUAAACCGCUUUCGCUCAUGACGAAGCUUUGUGUGACGGUAGUGGGUAAAGAAGCACCGGCUAACUACGUG